rnacentral:piRNA from 1 species
UGGCAAUUCAAUGCACUGCAUGCAUGUG